ensembl:lncRNA
GUAUAUCUCUGUUACUUUCAUUGGUAAUGUUUACAUUGUACUGUUUAUUGUUGCAAUCUGAUAUUUGAACUUGUUAUAUUUCAGGAUAUCAUGGGAUGCCUCUUUCGAAGGGAGGAGGUGUGUCUGGUCUAGCUCUUCAGUUUGAUGGAUACACUACUGUUCAGAAGCUUGGGGUCAGUAAGAUUUGUUUUGUUUUUAAAUUAAUACAUCAAAAGUGAGAGAUAAGAAUUUUACAUUGCUAUAAACUACUGUAUGUUCUUUUGAACUUUCUAUUAAUCAAAGUAUCCUGAUUUUCAAUUUCUAUAAUCCCAUUUAUAAAUGAACAAUAUAAAUUGAGAAUCUCUGUUUUCUCCACACACAUACCUUCGUGUACCCUUAGGGUUUGGAGGAGAGAGAUGGAAUACUUCAAGGGGUAGGAAAGCAGGAUAGUGGAUGCCACAGUGGAAGAUACGUGUGCAGAAGUGUAAAGCUGUGCAGAUGGUCCUUAACCUUUGUAGCCCUUCAGUUACAGACAAGUGUCUCAUCGCAGAUGCCUGAACUUCCCCUGCUGCAGAGCGCUCUGAUAGAAGGAAUGAUUAGAUAAGACUAUUUAAUAAACUGUUUCACAAAAAAAAUGUCACAAAGUCAAGUGUGAUUUUCAAGUAUUGAAGUAUAGAGGGUGAGGGCUAGAAAUGCAAGAAGUUUCUUCUUUUCUCAUUUAGCUACAGCAGGAUUCGGAGAAGUGAAUUUUGCAAUGGAGUAUUGUUUUUUUUUUUUGUCCUCUGUUUUUUAGAGCAAGAGUGGUAGCAGUGUGGACUACCUGCACCCACAUCUCCUCCAACACUCAUUAGCACCAACAUAUUCACUUCCAGCUUCCAGAACAUUGUGGAUGCUUAUGGUGUGGCAUGUUACAGAGAGGUUAAUCCAGAUUUGGCAUAUGCUGUUUGGUGGGAGAUAUCUGAUUCUUCUGAUGGGGUUGUUCUCCAUUUAUACUGGUGCUGUUUAUAAUGAGUGCUUCAGUAAAGGACUCAAACCCAUGAUGUAGCCCUACAACUGGAGGUACAUGCACAAUAUUACAGCCAAGGCAAAGAUUAGUGUUCAUGCUGUGUCUUUUUGGGUAUUAGUAAAUAAUUACAUUUUUGAAUAUAAAUUUGAACUGAAAUCAUAAAAGUGUCACAAACCAUAACAAUGUGCCCAACAUAGUUGACAGUCAAUAUACUCAAUGAAAAUAGGUUAUUGUAGAUUGUAGAAAAUACUGGGGAAAAAAAUAAGAGGCCUUUUACAAUAAUGUGUUCAAAAUGUUCAACACAGAAGAAAAUAACAUCACAUGAUGCUGGUUGCAUGUUGUAAUGAACCAUUUUUAGGGGCAAAGGGUUGUUCAUUAAGUAACACAGUGAACAGAACUUUUGUAAAUGAUUCAUAUUUUCAAUAUUUUUAAUUUAAACUCAAUAAUUUUUUUUCUAAAGCAUUUAGGUUUUAGAAAUGAAUUGAAUAUUUAAUUUAAUGCUCACAUCUCAGCUUGUCUAACAGACUUUUCUUGCUGGAUGAAGGCCCAUCACCUUCAACUCAACCUUACCAAGAGAGAACUGCUUGUUUCAUCACAAUUUCACCAUUCAGUUAGGCACAUCAACCAUAACUCCUUCAAAAA